GGGUAGGUACCAAAGUGGCCAACUGGGGCGGACUGUAAAUCCGCUGGCUUACGCCUUCGGGGGUUCGAAUCCCUCCCUGCCCA
rnacentral:tRNA from 1 species